rnacentral:rRNA from 1 species
UACAGAGGGGGCAAGCGUUGUUCGGAAUUACUGGGCGUAAAGGGCGCGUAGGCGGUCGUGACAAGUCACUUGUGAAAUCUCCGGGCUUAACUCGGAACGGUCAAGUGAUACUGUCGGACUAGAGUACAGAAGAGGCAACUGGAAUUCUCGGUGUAGCGGUGAAAUGCGUAGAUAUCGAGAGGAACACCUGCGGCGAAGGCGGGUUGCUGGGCUGAUACUGACGCUGAGGCGCGAAAGCCAGGGGAGCGAACGGG